rnacentral:rRNA from 1 species
ACGGCCCACCAAGGCGACGAUGCGUAGGGGUUCUGAGAGGAAGGUCCCCCACACUGGUACUGAGACACGGACCAGACUCCUACGGGAGGCAGCAG